GAUGAACGCUGGCGGCGUGCCUAAUACAUGCAAGUCGAGCGAAUGGAUUAAGAGCUUGCUCUUAUGAAGUUAGCGGCGGACGGGUGAGUAACACGUGGGUAACCUGCCCAUAAGACUGGGAUAACUCCGGGAAACCGGGGCUAAUACCGGAUAACAUUUUGAACCGCAUGGUUCGAAAUUGAAAGGCGGCUUCGGCUGUCACUUAUGGAUGGACCCGCGUCGCAUUAGCUAGUUGGUGAGGGAACGGCUCACCAAGGCAACGAUGCGUAGCCGACGUGAGAGGGUGAGCGGCCACACUGGGACUGAGACACGGCCCAGACUCCUACGGGAGGCAGCAGUAGGGAAUCUUCCGCAAUGGACGAAAGUCUGACGGAGCAACGCCGCGUGAGUGAUGAAGGCUUUCGGGUCGUAAAACUCUGUUGUUAGGGAAGAACAAGUGCUAGUUGAAUAAGCUGGCACCUUGACGGUACCUAACCAGAAAGCCACGGCUAACUACGUGCCAGCCGCCGCCGUAA
rnacentral:rRNA from 1 species